UACGAAGGGGGCUAGCGUUGUUCGGAUUUACUGGGCGUAAAGCGCACGUAGGCGGAUUCUUAAGUCAGAGGUGAAAUCCCAAGGCUCAACCUUGGAACUGCCUUUGAUACUGGGGAUCUUGAGUCCGGAAGAGGUGAGUGGAACUGCGAGUGUAGAGGUGAAAUUCGUAGAUAUUCGCAAGAACACCAGUGGCGAAGGCGGCUCACUGGUCCGGUACUGACGCUGAGGUGCGAAAGCGUGAGGAGCAAACAGG
rnacentral:rRNA from 1 species